rnacentral:rRNA from 1 species
GUGCAGCGGCGAGAAUUUUUCUCAAUGGGGGCAACCCUGAAGGAGCGACGCCGCGUGGAGGAUGAAGGCUUUCGGGUUGUAAACUCCUGUCAUUUGAGAACAAGUGUGGGCAAGUAACUACUGCCUACUUGAUAGUAUCAGAAGAGGAAGAGACGGCUAACUCUGUGCCAGCAGCCGCGGUAAUACAGAGGUCUCAAGCGUUGUUCGGAUUCAUUGGGCGUAAAGGGUGCGUAGGUGGCGCGCUAAGUCAGGUGUGAAAUCUCGGGGCUUAACUCCGAAACUGCAUUUGAUACUGGCGUGCUUGAGGACUGGAGAGGAGACUGGAAUUCAUGGUGUAGCAGUGAAAUGCGUAGAGAUCAUGAGGAAGACCAGUGGCGAAGGCGGGUCUCUGGACAGUUCCUGACACUGAGGCACGAAGGCCAGGGGAGCAAACGGGAUUAGA